AUGAGGAGCAGUUCUAUGAAGUAAAUUCUGAAUUCUAUUACUGAAAAAAACUGGGAGCCUUGGAAUUGGAAAGUUGAAAGCAAAACCUCAGUCGGCUUCUUUCACUUGAAUUCAGUCAUCUGUCACACGAUAAGGAAGACCUGAAUUCAGAGUUGAAAUAAGGACAAUUUGAGAAACACUGGCUUACUAGCCUACUUUCAGAAAUUCUCUGGCAGAUAUAUUGAAAAGCAGAUCAAAUAGGAAAGGCAGAGCUUUUUUCUUCUAUCCAAUGACAGUGAAUGCAGAGUACUUUUACUGCAAACAAGCAACUAAUGAAGUGCUGGCAACUGCCCCAAAGAAGGGAAGGAAACAGGAGGAAAAAAAGCAAAAGAGAAAAAAAUGACUCAAAACGUAACAUGCAUUUAUCCAAGUGUUUAUACUAUGCAUUCGCACUGCUUUCCUUCCAGCUGGGCCUUGAGAGAAACCCUGGAAGGGUACAGCUCAAAGACUGGGGACCAGCUCUGCUGUGUUGCAGAGACAAGUUAGCCAAAUACACGGCCUGAACUGCUUAAAAACAAGAAAAUGACUGGCACCAAACUUAAAUCCUAUUUGUUGUCAUUCUUUAAAGCUGAGUAUCUCUGUUGGAGCUGAGACGUGGGCAGGAAGAGAGAUGUCAUGACUAAAGCUUUUAUUGUACAUGAAUUUCUAAUGUUUCCAGACUUCCAUUUGCUUUCCAUUUCAAAAACCAAGAAAUCAUAUUUUGAUUGAAAUUUCACUUUGACAAAUGAUAUUGAACAUACACAAAAAGGUUUCCUUUAAAUUCAGUUGGUGCCUGAAUAACCUGCUUCAGUAUUGUGCUUUGUGAACCAAGGAAGUACCAUAUAAAUUGAGAUUAUAGAAGAUAUUUUACAGUAGUCUAUAAGAAUUAUACUUCCUGACUUCAUUUGUUUGCAGACUAUAGCCUGUCACUUAUGCAUUUUAUCAUGAUGCUGCUGUCAUUGAUAUGGCAAUGACUGCUAGGAAUUUUUGGCUGUACCUUAAGGUUAGCUUUUACCCUAAAAUUGAUC
rnacentral:lncRNA from 1 species